rnacentral:lncRNA from 1 species
GAAACAUUGACUUAUUUAGAUGGCUUGCCUCACAUCCUCUCAGUCCUCCUGCUACUCAGCAAUUCCUGCAGCAAACAAACUGCUCUGUGUGAGUUUAACCAAACAGCAUGUGGUGUUAGCUACAUUCCAUGCCCUCGUUUCAUGUCCUGGAGCUUUUCUAACAUGGGAGCACCCAGGAGUGACAGGCAGUUGACCUCCUUUGUGCCACUGAUGGAUAUUAUGGGAUGGGAGCUGUCAGUUAAAUUCUCCCCACUUCUACCCCUAGGACACAUUAUUCUGAGGCACAACUACGAUAAGCAUUAUCAUUCUCUUCACCUGGAAGAAGUUGUAGAGGUUCCAUCUCAGAAGACCAGAAACAGCAUGAUAAAGCAUGGACUUCCUCAAGAAGAAGAAAUCACAUUUAGAGCUGUUGAAUUUAGAACAAGGCAGAAGGAGAUGGUCAAACUAGUUUGUUCUACACCUUGUUCCAACAUCUUUUCAAGAGAAAAAUCACUGGCCCUAAUGGAAGGAUGUUUAUGUAACUAACAUAAAGAGAUGUCAUAAUCACCAAUUAGAAAGAGAGAAUGCAGAUGAGAAUCAGAGCAAUGCUCAGUGCUCACUGAAUCUAUAUUAUAGCAGGCUAAUGUUAGUCUAAGGCUGACUCUAUGUGCAAUGACUUAAAAAAUAUUAUUUUAGAGUUCUUCAGAAGACUUAACAGUGCUUUUGGCAUUUAUUCCAUUACAAUGUGCUAGACAGACAUGAUAAUUUGUAGUGAUACAAUUGUUCAAUACAGGUAACUUAUUUUACCAAGCUUUUCUUCUUUUUUUCAAAUCAAGAUGGUUAAACUGUUAUAGUAGGUAGCUAGUCAGACAUGAACAGGGCAAGAGAAGGCUCCCCUCACACAUACACAGCGGGAACACCAGGCGACCAGCAGAUGAUGGUCAGGCAGUUGUUAACUGAGUCUCUAAAACAAUAAUUGGUCACAGCCAGUACCAGGGGAGGGCAGUCUCCCCAUAGAUAGAAAACACCUGAAACUAGUGAUCAGCAGCUUCCCAAUAAGAUCUCAGAAGUUGGGUGAGCGGGCUCAAGCAUGCACAUUAAAAUGGCAGAAUUUAAUCAGCAAAUGACCUUCCAGGAACAUUUGACUGGUAAAAGAAGAACGCCUCAAGUGAGCAUGUGUGCAACUCCAGUAAACACACUGUACA